GUGCUCACUUCAGCAGCACAUGUGCUAAAAUUGGAAUGAUAUAGAGAAGAUUAGCAUGGUCCUUGAGCAACGAUGACACGCACAUUUGUGAAUUUUUCCAUAAAAUA
ensembl:snRNA U6 U6 spliceosomal RNA